AAAGGUACAGGGAGUGAAUGAUCCAGAGACAUCAACAUAAAUAAUGAACGAAUCACGGAACAAUAACAAAAACACGACUACGAAUCUUCUUGGUUCUUUUUUUAUUCGUUUCUUUGUUUUUUCUUGCUGUUCGUGACAAUACUCAGAUUUUCAUCAUGACAGAUCAGAUAGAUGUCUUGGUACUAUUCGUAGAUAACUUGUUGGAAUAUAGUAUGUAUCAAUUCACAAAACAGGAAAAACAAAGAGAGA
rnacentral:ribozyme from 1 species